UGAAAUGAAGGCUCACUUGUUGGGCUUCAAUCAUUCAAAUUCAAACACUCAGUGCACUGUUUAGAUGAAUGUCACUUCCCUCUGGGUGUGUGGCUAUUAGUCUGAUUUCUUUUUUUUUAAACACAAGUCAAUGCAUGUACAGAUACAUAUAGUAAUAAAACUUUCAACAACGGAUCUCUUGGCUCCCGCAUCGAUGAAGAACGCAGCGAAAUGCGAUAAGUAAUGUGAAUUGCAGAACUCAGUGAAUCAUCGAAUCUUUGAACGCACCUUGCACUCCUUGGUAUUCCAUGGAGUAUGCCUGUCUGAGUGUCAUGAAACUCUCAACCCUCUUGCUUUUGUUUAUCUUAGGCAUCAGGGCUUGGAUCAUGAGUGCCUGCUGGACCUGCGCAUCAGCUCACUCUAAAUGUAUCAGUGGUCUGCUAUCUCUGCCCCUGCGGAUGCAUCUGGUGUGAUAGGUUUUAUUCACCGGAUGUCUGUUGGAACCAGGCAGAGUGUUGCUAGCCAUCUACAAACAACUUUUUAAGUGUUUGGCCUCAGAUCAGGCAGGACUACCCGCUGAACUUAAGCAUA
rnacentral:rRNA from 1 species